CCACAGGAUGAAGGACACACUCUCACUGAUGCUGCUACUCAGCACCAUAGCCUCAGUGGUGAAAAGCCAAAGCAUGGAGUCCAUUCCCUCCAGUGCAGAGCUGAAGAAACCUGGUGACACUCUCAGCCUCUCCUGUAAAGGAGCUGGGUUUACUUUUGGGAGUUAUGGCAUGAACUGGAUCAGACAGCCUGCUGGCAAAGCACUGGAGUGGAUGGGUUACAUAUAUACGGAUGGUAGUGACACCAAUUAUGCCAGCAGUGUCCAGGGACGGAUAGAAAUCACCAGAGACAACCCCAACAGCAUGGUGUAUCUGAAACUGUCUGGUCUGAGGGCAGAGGACUCUGCUGUGUAUUACUGUGCAAGAUCCCACAGUGACAGAAAGGCUCUAGGUGCCGUACAAAUACAUCCCCUGUAA